AGAGUUUGAUCCUGGCUCAGGAUGAACGCUGGCGGCGUGCCUAACACAUGCAAGUCGAGCGGAGAUAUAUCGGAGAUUCUUCGGAUGAUCUUUUAUAUCUUAGCGGCGGAUGGGUGAGUAACACGUGGGUAACCUGCCCUGUACUGGGGAAUAACAGUUGGAAACGACUGUUAAUACCGCAUAUGCGCACGGGACCGCAUGGCCCUGGGAGGAAAGAUUUUAUCGGUACAGGAUGGGCCCGCGUCGGAUUAACUUGUUGGUGAGGUAACGGCCCACCAAGGUGAUGAUCCGUAGCCGACCUGAGAGGGUGACCGGCCACAUUGGGACUGAGACACGGCCCAAACUCCUACGGGAGGCAGCAGUGGGGGAUAUUGCACAAUGGGCGCAAGCCUGAUGCAGCGACGCCGCGUGAAGGAAGACGUAUUUCGGUAUGUAAACUUCUAUCAGCGGGGAAGAAGAUGACGGUACCCGACUAAGAAGCCCCGGCUAAUUACGUGCCAGCAGCCGCGGUAAUACGUAAGGGGCAAGCGUUAUCCGGAUUUACUGGGUGUAAAGGGAGCGUAGACGGUGAGGUAAGUCUGAUGUGAAAACCCGGGGCUCAACUCCGGGAUUGCAUUGGAAACUGUCUGACUUGAGUACUGGAGGGGUAAGUGGAAUUUCUAGUGUAGCGGUUAAAUGCGUAGAUAUUAGAAGGAACACCAGUGGCGAAGGCGGCUUGCUGGGCCAUUACUGACGCUGAGACACGAAAGCGUGGGGAGCAAAUAGGAUUAGAUACCCUAGUAGUCCACGCCGUAAACGAUGAGUACUAAGUGUCGGGAAACCGGUGCUGAAGUUAACACAUUAAGUACUCCGCCUGAGUAGUACGGUCGCAAGGCUGAAACUCAAAGGAAUUGACGGGCACCCGCACAAGCGGUGGAGCAUGCUGUUUAAUUCGAAGAUACGCGAAGAACCUUACCUAGACUUGACAUCCCCGGCAAAGCUAUAGAAAUAUAGUGGAGGUUACCCGGGUGACAGGUGGUGCAUGGUUGUCGUCAGCUCGUGUCGUGAGAUGUUCGGUUAAGUCCGAUAACGAGCGCAACCCUUAUUACUAGUUACUAACAUUUAGUUGAGUUCUCUAGUGAGACUGCCGGUGAUAAAUCGGAGGAAGAUGGGGAUGACGUCAAAUCAUCAUGCCCCGUACGUCUAGGGCUACAGGCGUGCUACAAUGGCCGAUACAAAAAGACGCAAUACCGUAAGGUGGAGCAAAUCUCUAAAAUCGGUCUCAGUUCGGAUUGAGGUCUGCAACUCGACCUCAUGAAGCUGGAAUCGCUAGUAAUCCUGAAUCAGAAUGUCAGGGUGAAUACGUUCCCGGGUGUUGUACACACCGCCCGUCACGCUAUGGGAGUCUGUAAUACCCGAAGUUGGUAGCCUAACCUUUUGGAGGGGGCCAACGAAGGUAGGAUAGGUGACUGGAGUGAAGUCGUAACAAGGUAACC
rnacentral:rRNA from 1 species